UACGUAGGGUGCAAGCGUUGUCCGGAAUUAUUGGGCGUAAAGAGCUCGUAGGCGGUCUGUCGCGUCGGCUGUGAAAACCCGGAGCUCAACUCCGGGCCUGCAGUCGAUACGGGCAGACUGGAGUUCGGCAGGGGAGACUGGAAUUCCUGGUGUAGCGGUGGAAUGCGCAGAUAUCAGGAGGAACACCGAUGGCGAAGGCAGGUCUCUGGGCCAUUACUGACACUGAGAAGCGAAAGCAUGGGGAGCGAACAGG
rnacentral:rRNA from 1 species